AAUAGCAGCACACGAACACAGACACUAACAUAGCGAACGCUGCAUCUCCAAACAUGGAAAACCGCGUUGUGGCGCUGGCGGUGCUGGAGAAUCUCAUCCACUGGCCAUUGCCCAACCGAAGCGGCUACGCUGCACUAGCGCGCGGGUCUGGCGAGGACGCGGAGGACGGUAGCGCCACUGCAGCGUUGGUGUCUGCCGGUGAUGCCGAAGACCUCUCCAGGGAGCCGCGGCAGCGCAAGCAGGACCGCUAUCGAGCCGUCCUUCUCCUGCCGCACCUGUGCCACAGGCUCGGAAGCCGAUGGGCGGAGACGGAGAUUGUGCCGUAUCUUGUGCGAUGCGCCGAAGAAGACGACCCGCAGCUGGCGCUGGUGACCGGGAUGGCAUUGCUCGGGGUGACGCUGCCUCGUCGCACACCGCUGGGGCCUACCAUCUCGGCAUCCAGCAGCAGUUCACCGGACGCAUCUAGCACCUUCAGCGGCGCAACCGGCAACAACUUUGGAGCCUUCCUGUCUGUCGAGGAUGUGCAGCCGGUUUGCUCGCUGCUCGCAGCCAGCAGUGCGGAGGAGACGCGGCAGUUCGCCGCACAGGUGGUGCUCCCCCACCUGUUCUUUGGUGUGGCACUCGAGCGUGAUAUCACGCUGGAGAGCUGGGAUCUCAAGUACGUGCCACUCUCCGUGCUGCAGGCAGACAUGACAACCACAGCAACGUCGAUGGAGGCCAACGAAGCGGCUGAAUACUUGGAAAGCGAGGACAACAACCCGCGCUGGGCUGCCGGCGCAGUGGACAAGAGGGACACCGACGGUGGCGCGUCGUCGACGGCGCGGCUUAUGGCGGCCGUGCGGAAACAGCUACUACGGAAGCACCGGCUCACCAUGAAAGCGAGGGCCGCCGCAGCGCGCGCGUCGUCCACUGUCAGCGGCAAGGACUCACACACAUCCUCUUCAGCAACUGAGGUCACAGACCCUCACACUCCUACGGAAGAGGACGUUCGCAAGCGCUGCUACGACCUUGCCUUAGAGGACGAGUCCGUGCAGUUCCUGUGGAGCGGGGGCUACGCUGCCCUCACAGGGCCGUGGCUCUUUGACGGCAGCGGUCGCCUCGCCUCCCUCUGGAACGAUGUGAGCGACGCUUGUGGACGGUGCAGCAGUGGCAGCAGCGCCUCUGCCUGUCGAUUAAUGGCGAGCUUUCGCUGCUUCCGCAGGCAUCGCCGUCGUGUGGACAACGGGCAGACGCUUCGAGGGGAGCCGCUAGCAGCCUGCCUGCCGCUCUCUGGCGCUGAUUUAGACCUCUACGGUGCCGCCUACGCCUCCGAUGCCGACAGCGGCAGCGGUGACGACUUCUUCUCUGUAAAUGUGCGAGCGCGGGCGUUGGUGGCGGGCCUUGUCCGGUGGAUGGGCGCACUGGCUCCGCGUGCAGCCGCUGCAACUGCCACGUCCCCGAGCGCCGAUGCGGGCACGUCCAUGUCCGCGCGGCUGCACGCGGACGGCAGCCUCUCCCUCUUUGACUACCUGUGCUGCAAUGAACGCCGCGAUGUGCUGCGAUGCCGGUGGCGCUCGCUGAUCAAGAUACUUCAGGGAUUUCUGGAGUCACCGUACCCCGGACCGGUGGCGGCGGCUGUGGAGACGGUGAGCGGGUUGCUGCAUGCCAUCCAAGCAGCACUGUGGGAGGCCGAACGGCAGCAGCAACAGAGGGCCAAGUCAAGCAGCGCCGGUUCCUGUGCAGACCCUCUGAGAAACAAGGCCACCUCGAUAGAUGCGGGUGCGGAAGUGGAUGCAUGGUCAGGGAUCCGCGUACCGGCUGAACCGCUCCUGACCACGGCGGAGCUGCAGACGUUCAUGCACCGCAUGACGCGCCGCCACGUGGCAUAUUGCAUCGCCGCCGCCGUGUCCGCGCGCACAGUGUCGAUGCCGACCUCCCCGACAGCCACAUCGAUGAAGGUGCUCACGGACAGCAUGGGCCGCCUCAUGCGCUCAGCGCUGGCCGCGGCGCAGGAACUGCUGGCCGAUCUUCUUCUGCGCCACCACGUUCUCAUGAAACUUGACGUGUGCAGCGCCACAGCAUCAACAACGACGUCGGAAAGCCCUCACCACCGGUUGAGCCUGGGCGCUAGCUGCAUGAUGCUGCAGGUCGGUGUCGGCCCAAGCGAGUCCCGUCUCGCUUCGUACAGCGCGUGGGACGUCAGCUUCGCGUCUGUGAGCACCACCGCGGGUGCUGUCAGUGCUGCUACGCCUAACAUGCCCGAUGACGCCACCUUUCUUAUGACGACCACGCCCGCCGCUGACGGAAGGGCGGAGAAAGGCAGCGCCAAGUGGCUGCCUGGAACCCUCAACGCCAUCUCCGCCUUUCGUCUCCACCGACUUGUGCGCCGUGCGCUGCUGCGAGCGCUACCGUUGUGCGUCGAUUUUCCGUGCAUCUUCUACUCCUGCGCAUCGACACGCGCGCUGUCGAGCGCAAGCACCAGCGGCACGUCCGCAUCCGCCGCCAGCGUCUUCUCCCUGUCGGCGGUGUGUCCAAUGCUGCUGCAAGUGUUGGUGCCGCCCAGUGCCCUUUCCCCGCUGCUGAACGUGCUUCGAGUCACCGUCGAACUCCAGCAUCAGGCGGAAAAGGACCACGCGGCUGAUGAGAAGCACGCAGGUGAGGCGGCAGCGCCGACGCCGUCCACGCGCCACGUCGAUCCUGCUGGCUCGACCAUGAUGGCACCGGCCCUGUGGGCUGCCAUGACCGCCGCUGGCAGCGUGCUGCAGCUCGACACCGCUGCGGCAGAAGCGCCGUCCGCAGUAGAAGAGAGCCCCGCCUCCGUAGACUUCGCUCUUCUCGAAGCCGCUCUUGAUGCAGUGCAACGCCUCAUGGCCGAGGCAGCCGUACAACUCUCCGCCGCUCCGCAGAUCGGCUCGCUCCGUAGCGCAUCAGCACCGGUCAUUGUUGCCGGCGCAUCCCCCUCGCACAUUCUCGACGCCGUGUGCGCACAGCUCUUCAUCCUCCUCGCCGCCUGUCUGCGCUGGGUGCCGCGCUACCCAAACUGGAAGGCGCGGUGGUUGAUUGCGCAGCGACUGCCACGACUGACCGCCACCUUCGGUCUGCUUAUCGUCCGCAUGUCCUCACUCGCCGAGGGGGCCGAUGUGUCGGCCGCCCGUGGGCCCACAGCGCAUCAGCUGCGCGCACAAACUUGGCUGACGCACACGCUGCACCUCCUUGCAUCUCUCUGGACGUGCGACGCGCAGUUUGGGACGGCGCCGCUGCAUGACCUGGUGGACGACGAGGAGGUCGAGGUGCGUUGCAUCGCAGCGCGAUGCGCGGCGCGGUGCUUCGGUGGUGCAACGGAGGCGGUGCUCCGGCUGAGCUUUUCGGCCGGAGCUGGUGAUGAGAAGGCGCGCACAAAGGCACGCUUCACCUCGCAGCAGUCUUCGCUUCUCCCUUCGCUAUGCGAGCCUCUCUUGCAACUACUGGACGUCAUCGCGCAGUGCGUCCUUGUCGCCGCCAGUGACGGCGACACACGCGUCCUCUGCCGCUCUGCCGAGGCCCUCGCGGGGCUAUCGCGAACCUUGAGUCUCUUGGUCGUUGCAGACCCGUCAUCGGCGACACGGUCCGCCUCCUCCACAUCCACGAGAAACGAAGAAGAGUCGCCUGUGUGGGCCCGCUACCUGCACUCCAACACGGACACGCUCCUGCGGCUGAUGACUGACAACAGGCCGACAGUGCAGCUGGCCCUCGUCUCUCAGCUCGCGGACCUGCUACUGAUGCACAUGCGAAAGCCUCCUCACGAGAAGCGGCAAGGGCAGUCUCGCAACGGGCGGGCGCAGAGUCAGCUGAUGGGUGACGAGAGCGACGCUUCGUUCAUUUGCGGUCCCGACGAGGACGGGGAGGAGGGCAGCGAAAACGACGCAGACGCGCCGCACCGCAGCCCCGACGAGGUGCAGUACGACGCCCUUCUUCAGUGCCUUCGGCAGCUGUCCCAGCACGAGCUGUGGCGGUUGCGUGAGCAGUACGCGCUGCUCCUAGCCCACCUCUGCGGAUGCCUGCUGCUGACAGCCGCCGCUGCCCCCGCGCCUGCGCCGCAUGGACGACACGCAGAUGCGCAGCGGAUUUCCUCCAUGGACUUUAGCGCCGUCAAUGCCGGGCGCGUGUCUGGCGAGGGCGGCACGGACGAGACGACGCGCUGCUCCGUGACCGAUGCCGCUGUAAUGGCUCAACAAGGCGGUGCGGACGCCGCCUUGUGGGCACACACGCACCCGUUAUACCAACUCGCUCGAACCGAGCUGCUGACGUUGCUGGUGGCGGUGCUCUUCGACAAGGUCAAGGCAGUCCGCGACGCUGCGCUCGACGCGGUGGAGCGGAUGUGUGUGCAACUCGCUGUCGCGAGCAGCCGGAGUGCAGCCAGCACUAGUGUGGGAGGCAGCGGCGGAGCGAGGCAGGGCAGUGUCGGAAAGCGAUUUGGCGCGGGCUACGAGACUGAAGGCGUCGACACCUCUGCCGAUGCCGUCGCCGCCGCCUCCGGCUCCCUCAACGCGAACACAUUCGUUGACGACGUGCUCUGGCCACGCAUCUACGCCCACGCGCCCGCGUGGGAGACUUACCUAAGCCGGAGUGCCCUCUUGCGCAUAGCAAUGCGGCUGCGGGUGGACAAGACAUCCGCUUUCAUUCCACUGCUGGACCAACUCGCCCGCGAUCCGGUGCUGAACGUGCGCUUGGUGGUAGCAAAGACUAUCUUGGAGGUGCUCCUGGUGAGCGCACCCGAGGUGCACGCCAUGACGACGCCGGCGCUGUUUCUGGAGGCAAAGGAUGGCGAGGUUGCAAGCUCCAGGACGUCGACGCCUACGCCUAUGUCCUCCUACAAGCCAGAGCUGCCCUCUGGCACCAUAGCGUACAGCAUCUUGAUGAACAAGCCCGUAACUCUGCUUCUCGCUGGCAGCGGUAGUGGGAAUAGUCGUGCUGCAGCAGUCGCGGAUGUCGUGCUGCCGCCCCUUCAGUUCGAUGAGGUGGAGCGCGCCGGUGUCAUUCUCCAGAUCCUGCGUCAGCUGCUCAAGGACCCCAGCGCGGACGUGCGUGAUGAGGCGGCCAAGGCGCUGAAGGUGUGCUUUUAAGCGCGAAUACAUACAUGGUGAGGGCACGUGCAUCGAUGUGUGUGUAUAUGGGUGCGCGCGCGCCUUUCCGCCUGCAUCCGCUUCACCACCGAUAGAUAAAAAGGCACAACGCUCAUGGCUUGGCGCCCCUUUCUUCGUUGCCCUUGUACAGUGAGUGGGCGGCAGACGCACUCGCUCACGUCGG
rnacentral:misc_RNA from 1 species